CAUUUGAUUAUUGUAAAAAUGAUUUGACAUGUCAUUGGAAUAUGAGGUACCUAGCGAUAGUUCCGUUGAAUGUUGCCACAUGGUAAUAAAUCUUCUCUUAGUAACAUAAAUGAA